rnacentral:rRNA from 1 species
AGUGAACGCUGGCGGUAGGCCUAACACAUGCAAGUCGAACGGCAGCACAGUAAGAGCUUGCUCUUACGGGUGGCGAGUGGCGUACGGGUGAGGAAUACAUCGGAAUCUACUUUUUCGUGGGGGAUAACGUAGGGAAACUUACGCUAAUACCGCAUACGACCUACGGUUGAAAGCAGGGGAUCUUCGGACCUUGCGCGAUUGAAUGAGCCGAUGUCGGAUUAGCUAGUUGGCGGGGUAAAGGCCCACCAAGGCGACGAUCCGUAGCUGGUCUGAGAGGAUGAUAAGCCACACUGGAACUGAGACACGGUCCAGACUACUAAGGGAGGCAGCAGUGGGGAAUAUUGGACAAUGGGGGCAAGCCUGAUCCAGCCAUACCGAGUGGGUGACGAAGGCCUUCGGGUUGUAAAGCCCUUUUGUUGGGAAAGAAAAGCAGCAGGUUAAUACCCCGCUGUUCUGACGGUACCCAAAGAAUAAGCACCGGCUAACUUCGUG